ACGGGUGAGUAAUGUCUGGGAAACUAGCCUGAUGGAGGGGGGUAACUACUGGAAACGGUAGCUAAUACCGCAUAACGUCGCAAGACCAAAGAGGGGGACCUUCGGGCCUCUUGCCAUCGGAUGUGCCCAGAUGGGAUUAGCUAGUAGGUGGGGUAACGGCUCACCUAGGCGACGAUCCCUAGCUGGUCUGAGAGGAUGACCAGCCACACUGGAACUGAGACACGGUCCAG
rnacentral:rRNA from 1 species